GUAGAGAUGGCUCAGCGGUUGAGAGCGCUGACUGCUCUUCCAGAGGCCCUGAGUUCAAGUCCCGGCAACUACA
rfam:Rattus norvegicus chromosome 20, whole genome shotgun sequence.